CUAAGGCGAGGCCGACAGGCGUAGUCGAUGGACAACGGGUUGAUAUUCCCGUACCAGUGAAGAACCGUCCAUGUUGAGCCGGUGAUACUAACCGCCCGAACCAUCCCGAACCCCGUCUUUGACGGGGUCGGUGGUGGGGAGCGCGGGACCUGAACCGGGGAGGCAAGCGCAUUAACGGGUGUGACGCAGGAAGGUAGCCGGGCCGGGCAAUGGAAAUGACCUGGUCUAAGGGUGUAGGGCUGCCGGUAGGUAAAUCCGCCGGCUGUAUGCCUGAGACCUGAUGGGCGCCCACGUGGUGGGUGAUCCGGUGAUCCUAUGCUGCCUAGAAAAGCAUCGGCGCGAGGUUCAAACUGCCCGUACCCUAAACCGACACAGGUGGUCAGGUAGAGAAUACUAAGGCGAUCGAGAGAAUCAUGGUUAAGGAACUCGGCAAAAUGCCCCCGUAACUUCGGGAGAAGGGGGGCCCCAACCUUGAGCACCACGUGCUGGUGUGAGGGGAUCGGGGCCGCAGAGACCAGGGGGAAGCGACUGUUUAUCAAAAACACAGGUCCAUGCGAAGUCGUAAGACGAUGUAUAUGGACUGACUCCUGCCCGGUGCUGGAAGGUUAAGGGGACCUGUUAGCUUCGGCGAAGCGGAGAACUUAAGCCCCAGUAAACGGCGGUGGUAACUAUAACCAUCCUAAGGUAGCGAAAUUCCUUGUCGGGUAAGUUCCGACCUGCACGAAUGGAGUAACGACUUCCCCGCUGUCUCAACCAUGAACUCGGCGAAAUUGCAUUACGAGUAAAGAUGCUCGUUACGCGCAGAAGGACGGAAAGACCCCGUGACCUUUACUAUAGUUUGGUAUUGGUAUUCGGUGUGACUUGUGUAGGAUAGGUGGGAGACUGUGAAGCGGGCACGCCAGUGUUCGUGGAGUCGCCGUUGAAAUACCACUCUGGUCACUCUGGAUAUCUAACUUCGGCCCGUGAUCCGGGUCAGGGACAGUGCCUGAUGGGUAGUUUAACUGGGGCGGUUGCCUCCCAAAAUGUAACGGAGGCGCCCAAAGGUUCCCUCAGCCUGGUUGGCAAUCAGGUGUCGAGUGCAAGUGCACAAGGGAGCUUGACUGUGAGAGUGGCAGCUCGAGCAGGGACGAAAGUCGGGACUAGUGAUCCGGCGGCUCGUUGUGGAACGGCCGUCGCUCAACGGAUAAAAGGUACCUCGGGGAUAACAGGCUGAUCUUGCCCAAGAGUCCAUAUCGACGGCAUGGUUUGGCACCUCGAUGUCGGCUCGUCGCAUCCUGGGGCUGGAGUAGGUCCCAAGGGUUGGGCUGUUCGCCCAUUAAAGCGGUACGCGAGCUGGGUUCAGAACGUCGUGAGACAGUUCGGUCCCUAUCCUCUGCGCGCGUUGGAAAUUUGAGAAGGUCUGUCCUUAGUACGAGAGGACCGGGACGGACGAACCUCUGGUAUGUCAGUUGUACCGCCAGGUGCAUGGCUGAUUAGCUACGUUCGGGAUGGAUAACCGCUGAAAGCAUCUAAGCGGGAAGCCGGCUUCGAGAUGAGAUUUCCUUGCCCCUUUGAGGGUGUGAGGCCCCCAGCUAGAACACUGGGUUGAUAGGCUGGAUGUGGAAGCGAGGACUGAAGACUCGUGAAGCUGACCAGUACUAAUAGGCCGAUGACUUACACAC
rnacentral:rRNA from 1 species